rnacentral:rRNA from 1 species
CUACGGGACGCUGCAGUGGGGAAUAUUGGACAAUGGGGGAAACCCUGAUCCAGCAAUGCCGCGUGUGUGAAGAAGGCCUGCGGGUUGUAAAGCACUUUCGGUUGGGAGGACUGCUUCUAGCACUAAUAUUGUUGGAAGUUGACGUUACCUUCAGAAGAAGCACCGGCUAACUCCGUGCCAGCAGCCGCGGUAAUACGGAUGGUGCAAGCGUUAAUCGGAAUUACUGGGCGUAAAGCGCGCGUAGGCGGCUAGAUCAGUCGGGUAUGAAAGCCCCGGGCUUAACCUGGGAACUGCAUCCGAUACUGUCUAGCUUGAGUACAGGAGAGGAGAGUGGAAUUCCACAUGUAGCGGUGAAAUGCGUAGAUAUGUGGAGGAACACCAAUGGCGAAGGCAGCUCUCUGGCCUGAUACUGACGCUGAGGUGCGAAAGCGUGGGGAGCAAACAGGAUUAGAUACCCUUGUAGUC